rnacentral:rRNA from 1 species
UACGUAGGGGCCGAGCGUUGUCCGGAGUUAUUGGGCUUAAAGCGCGCGCAGGCGGCCUCGCGCGCCCGACGUGAAAGCCCCCGGCUUAACCGGGGAGGGUCGUUGGGGACGGCGGGGCUUGAGGGCGGGAGAGGGCGGUGGAAUUCCCGGUGUAGUGGUGAAAUGCGUAGAGAUCGGGAGGAACACCUGUGGCGAAGGCGGCCGUCUGGGCCGACCCUGACGCUGAGGCGCGAAGGCGUGGGGAGCGAACGGG